rnacentral:lncRNA from 1 species
UUUAGCGUCGAGCUAGCCGUGAAGACAGGUGAGUUGGUUUGUCUAUAUCGUCUGACUUUAGCGUCGAGCUAGCCGUGAAGACAGGUGAGUUGGUUUGUCUAUGUUGUCUGACUUUGUUUCUACUUUGUUUAUGUGUUUGUGUGUAUUUGCAUCUUCUCAUGGGGAGUUUGGUAUUUUUCUGUGUCUUUAGAUCCCAUCACUUCCUUACCGACGAACAGGUGGGCUCAGUCAGGUAAAUUCACAGAAUGUGAAUACAGUAGUUCUACUGCAGGGUUGGGCAACUGUGUGGAAUGCCUUUUGAAGGCCCUCGGAUUAAUAACACAAAUAUUAUAAUAAUAAAAAGAUAAUAUACAUAUUUUUUUUAACUCAGUCGGGGUCUCAACUUACUGUUGCUAGGUAGAAUAGUAGAAUACACAAGGUGCAAUUUGAAGAUGUGGUUGUCCAUCAGCAGUUUUUCUCUUGUUGUCAGUCACUGAUAGUCUCUUAAUUAGUCAUGUCAGAUUGCUAACUAAGUCUAACGGCCACCUAUCUAAAUUUAGGAAUCAUGGUGGAAUUACCAGCCAGGGGGCCCCAUUGACUUUGUUAUUCAGUCUCACUCAGAUAUUAUAUUAAAAACUACAAACAUUUCUCUCCACUCUAUGGCAAAAUGUGUAGAAUUACACCAAAUGAACUCUAAAAUAUAAAGAAAUGUCUCUCUAAUGUCAAGAGGGGGGCUGCUAAACUGUUUUGCUGACAAUGUGGUAGUGGUGGGGGUUAUGCACAUGUAGGUAUCAAACCCGCGAGCCACUCACAUUGAGUUCAGAUUCUUUGUGACCCCCCCACCCCAUCAAAGUUGCCCAUCCCUGCUCUAAUGAAUGAAAUCCAAAGAAAUUCUACAAUUUACUUUUCAAUUUUUUUUCAAACCUUGAAAUAAGAGACAAAAUAUCACAUUUUCCCCUCGAAUUUCCAUGUUCAAUUGAUAUCCUACUUGAUUGGAAUUGUAGCAGAAGAGAGUGACUUUGUCCUUUAAAAUAAUAAUAAUAAUAAUAUUCUACUGUGUAUGACAGUUGAUGUCUGUAAUUUUCCCUCCUAG